rnacentral:rRNA from 1 species
GAUGAACGCUGGCGGCGUGCCUAACACAUGCAAGUCGAGCGAUCUUCUUCGGAAGAGAGCGGCGGACGGGUGAGUAACGCGUGGGUAACCUGCCCUGUACACACGGAUAACAUACCGAAAGGUAUGCUAAUACGAGAUAAUAUGCUUUUAUCGCAUGGUAGAAGUAUCAAAGCUCCGGCGGUACAGGAUGGACCCGCGUCUGAUUAGCUAGUUGGUAAGGUAACGGCUUACCAAGGCGACGAUCAGUAGCCGACCUGAGAGGGUGAUCGGCCACAUUGGAACUGAGACACGGUCCAAACUCCUACGGGAGGCAGCAGUGGGGAAUAUUGCACAAUGGGCGAAAGCCUGAUGCAGCAACGCCGCGUGAGCGAUGAAGGCCUUC